CCUACGGGUGGCAGCAGUGGGGAAUAUUGCGCAAUGGGCGAAAGCCUGACGCAGCGACGCCGCGUGAGGGAUGAAGGUCUUCGGAUCGUACACCUCUGUCAGCAGGGAAGAACGGUCACUGUGCUAAUCAGCAGUGAAUUGACGGUACCUGCAAAGGAAGCACCGGCUAACUCCGUGCCCGCAGCCGCGGUAAUACGGAGUGUGCGAGCGUUAAUCGGAAUUUCUGGGCGUAAAGCUCUCGUAGGCGGUAUGUCAUGUCAAGGGGGAACUGCCCGCACUCAACGGGGGAACUGCCGUUGAGACUGGCAAACUGGAGUGUGUGAGAGGAGAGUGGAAUUCAAGGUGUAGGAGUGAAAUCCGUAGAUAUCUGGAGGAACAUCAGUGGCGAAGGCGACUAUCUGGCACAUAACUGACGCUGAGGAGCGAAAGCGUGGGUAGCAAACAGGAUUAGAUACCCGUGUAGUC
rnacentral:rRNA from 1 species